rnacentral:rRNA from 1 species
GAGUAAUGUCUGGGAAACUGCCUGAUGGAGGGGGAUAACUACUGGAAACGGUGGCUAAUACCGCAUAACGUCGCAAGACCAAAGAGGGGGACCUUCGGGCCUCUUGCCAUCAGAUGUGCCCAGAUGGGAUUAGCUAGUUGGUGAGGUAAUGGCUCACCAAGGCGACGAUCCCUAGCUGGUCUGAGAGGAUGACCAGCCACACUGGAACUGAGACACGGUCCAGACUCCUACGGGAGGCAGCAGUGGGGAAUAUUGCACAAUGGGCGCAAGCCUGAUGCAGCCAUGCCGCGUGUAUGAAGAAGGCCUUCGGGUUGUAAAGUACUUUCAGCGGGGAGGAAGGUGUUGCGGUUAAUAACCGCAGCAAUUGACGUUACCCGCAGAAGAAGCACCGGCUAACUCCGUGCCAGCAGCCGCGGUAAUACGGAGGGUGCAAGCGUUAAUCGGAAUUACUGGGCGUAAAGCGCACGCAGGCGGUCUGUCAAGUCGGAUGUGAAAUCCCCGGGCUCAACCUGGGAACUGCAUUCGAAACUGGCAGGCUUGAGUCUUGUAGAGGGGGGUAGAAUUCCAGGUGUAGCGGUGAAAUGCGUAGAGAUCUGGAGGAAUACCGGUGGCGAAGGCGGCCCCCUGGACAAAGACUGACGCUCAGGUGCGAAAGCGUGGGGAGCAAACAGGAUUAGAUACCCUGGUAGUCCACGCCGUAAACGAUGUCUACUUGGAGGUUGUGCCCUUGAGGCGUGGCUUCCGGAGCUAACGCGUUAAGUAGACCGCCUGGGGAGUACGGCCGCAAGGUUAAAACUCAAAUGAAUUGACGGGGGCCCGCACAAGCGGUGGAGCAUGUGGUUUAAUUCGAUGCAACGCGAAGAACCUUACCUGGUCUUGACAUCCACAGAACUUUCCAGAGAUGGAUUGGUGCCUUCGGGAACUGUGAGACAGGUGCUGCAUGGCUGUCGUCAGCUCGUGUUGUGAAAUGUUGGGUUAAGUCCCGCAACGAGCGCAACCCUUAUCCUUUGUUGCCAGCGGUUAGGCCGGGAACUCAAAGGAGACUGCCAGUGAUAAACUGGAGGAAGGUGGGGAUGACGUCAAGUCAUCAUGGCCCUUACGACCAGGGCUACACACGUGCUACAAUGGCGCAUACAAAGAGAAGCGACCUCGCGAGAGCAAGCGGACCUCAUAAAGUGCGUCGUAGUCCGGAUUGGAGUCUGCAACUCGACUCCAUGAAGUCGGAAUCGCUAGUAAUCGUGGAUCAGAAUGCCACGGUGAAUACGUUCCCGGGCCUUGUACACACCGCCCGUCACACCAUGGGAGUGGGUUGCAAAAGAAGUAGGUAGCUUAACCUUCGGGAGGGCGCUUACCACUUUGUGAUUCAUGACUGGGGUGAAGUCGUAACAAGGUAACCGUAGGGGAACCUGCGGUUGGAUCACCUCCUUACCU